AUUGAACGCUGGCGGCAGGCCUAACACAUGCCAGUCGAGCGGAUGAAGGGAGCUUGCUCCUGGAUUCAGCGGCGGACGGGUGAGUAAUGCCUAGGAAUCUGCCUGGUAGUGGGGGAUAACGUCCGGAAACGGGCGCUAAUGCCGCAUACGUCCUGAGGGAGAAAGUGGGGGAUCUUCGGACCUCACGCUAUCAGAUGAGCCUAGGUCGGAUUAGCUAGUUGGUGGGGUAAAGGCCUACCAAGGCGACGAUCCGUAACUGGUCUGAGAGGAUGAUCAGUCACACUGGAACUGAGACACGGUCCAGACUCCUACGGGAGGCAGCAGUGGGGAAUAUUGGACAAUGGGCGAAAGCCUGAUCCAGCCAUGCCGCGUGUGUGAAGAAGGUCUUCGGAUUGUAAAGCACUUUAAGUUGGGAGGAAGGGCAGUAAGUUAAUACCUUGCUGUUUUGACGUUACCAACAGAAUAAGCACCGGCUAACUUCGUG
rnacentral:rRNA from 1 species